rnacentral:rRNA from 1 species
AACGCGAAGAACCUUACCUACUCUUGACAUCCAGAGAACUUUCCAGAGAUGGAUUGGUGCCUUCGGGAACUCUGAAACAGGGGCGGCAUGGCUGUCUUCACCUCGUGUGGUGAAAUGUGGGGUUAAGUCCCCCAAAGAGCGCACCCCUUUUCUUUUGUUGCCACCGGUUCGGCCGGGAACUCAAAGGAGACUGCCGGGGAUAAACUGGAGGAAGGGGGGGAUGACGUCAAGUCAUCAUGGCCCUUAUGAGUAGGGCUACACACGUGCUACAAUGGCAGAUACAAAGAGAAGCGACCCCGCGAGAGCAAGCAAACCCCAAAAAGCAUGUCCUAGUCCGGAUUGGAGUCUGCAACUCCACUCCAUGAAGUCGGAAUCUCUAGUAAUCGUAGAUCAAAAUGCUACGGUGAAUACUUUCCCGGGUCUUGUACACACCGAAAA